ensembl:lncRNA
CUGAUUGACACUCCCCCGUUGCCUUCUUAGCAGCACUGCCAACACAGCUGCCCUCUACUCUGCACAGGCCAACCUCCUACCGUGGAAACGCAGGGAGUCAAGCCUCUGCUCAGACCUUCGCCUCCCUUCAGUGCUCCUGCACAUUCAGCCCUUCUUUGCCCAGAUAGUAUUAGCCAAACAGAAGCCCAGUAGCCAAAAGCUGUCUUUAAGCAAGUGUUUUCUUUGGCCUCUUGCACAUCAAAGGGAACAUAACAGUGACAUGAUAAUAAGCAACAAUGAUCCUCAUUGUUUCAAAGAGACAACAUCAGUGCCAGCAGUGCCAGUGAGACCCUGGAGUGUCCGUUGCUUUCUGUGCGAAUGGAAAAUGCAGGUCAGCUACCUCUUCAGGUAUAAAGAGUGCUCAUGACGCUUAGAAAACUGGAAAUCACUUUAUAACUGCCAUUGACUGUUAUUGUCCCUAAGAGCUUCGAGAUCACCACAACACGGCUCCCAAUGUGCUCUUGAUAUAUAUGAGGGGGUACUCAUGGUGCAAUGAAAUUAAACAGGUAUUUAACGGCAACCCCGACCCAGAUCCCUGGACAGAAAAUAAACCCACUACUCAGCUCCUCAGGGGCACAGAGGAUGGGUCUCACCCUGGGAUUUGGAGGGCCAGGAAUGAAAUGGCCUGGGGUCAGGGUCGAAGUCCCCUCAGCUCUGCCCCGGAGGGAAGGGCAGAUGCUGGGCAGGUCUCACGAAGGAGCCUCAUGGAUCUGCCUCUUUUUUUUUUUUCUCCACUUCCUCCUAAGGGAGAAAGUUCUUUUCCUUCCCGCCACUCUGGGCCGAGCGGAAGUUGAAAAGGGCUCCUUGUUCCUAAAGUUUUAUAUAGCUCAGUAAAUGACUGCUGGGUCUCAGCCUCAGGUCUGGAACUGCCUUCGCAGCCACACCUGGACAGUGGCCCAUUUAGCAGAAAAGCCAGGGGCGAUCUCCUGGGGGAGCUUUGUGCUUGUAUUAUAAACUGAAAUAGCCCCCCAGGUCUCUGGGAAGGAGAGGACCUCGCUGCAGAAACAUUUUUCCGGAAAGAGCAGCCGCGUUCAGUUGCCUGAAUAACGUGGGGUCCAGCGCCACCUAGUGCCCGCUGUGGUGCUUGGUGUGCGUCCUGAGCUCUGGAUGGGGCGUUUCGGAAAGUGGCUGUAACCAGGACAGGGGCUACCAUUCUCUGCGUGCAGGGCUGUCCUCAUGCCCACGACAAGGGUCUGUGAUUUUGGUGGGAGAAGCUGAGGAGCUACAAUCCUAAUGCGUCACAGAUGGAAGUGUUGGAGGAUUCCUGCACCAUGAGGGGGUAACCAGCUAUUGCAGAGGCAGCUACAGUAUCCAGGAGGUUCUGGAGGAGAUGAACACCCUUCUAGCUCAGAGGACACUUCCUGCUCUGGACCAGUGUCUGUGACCCCAAGGCUUGACUGGACCCUUGCAGUAAACACCCUCCUUCCUCACAGCCUCUGCCCGGGGCCCCACCCCAGCACAAAUGCUUCCGCAGCCUACACUCCUCCACACUUGGAAACCACCCCAGAGGAAUAAUGAGAGCAAGGAGCAGGGAUUUGGCAAAUGUUCAGAAUGCCAGGAGAAUCAUGGAUUUGUCUCUGACUCCAUGGGCCUUGGCCUCACCCAGUGGAAAACUGGGAAAAUUCCCUACUGGCUCCUCCCCACCUCCCCCAACAACCAUGCUUCACCAAACAGACGCACCUCCAGAGGAAGGUUAAGUAAGGUCACUCUCUGGAUUCCUCUGAAAUAAAAUUGUUGCUUAAAAAUACAGAUUCAAAAAUAAAGUUUAAAUGGGGUAACACACUGCAGUAAGAUCCGAUCCUGACUUCCACAAAUGGGGUAGAUGUUCAGGCUGCUGGGGGCUCGUGGGAGGUGGUUCCGGGUAAUGCAAGGAGCACAGGAUUAAGAGACCUGGACUUAAAUCCUCAGUCUGUCACCCCCCAGCUGAGUGACUUUGGGCAAGUCGCUUAAUCUCUCUGAGCCUCAUUUUCCUCAUUUGUAGAAUGAAGGCAAUUCUUUUCUUACCUAUAAGGUUAUAGAUGAACAAGUGCUUUGUAAAGCCCUGCAGGGCGGGAGGUGCCAUGUGAAGGGAGAGCUGGCGCUAGCAGGAUUUAGGUUGGAGAUUUUUAUUACUUUGCCCUUUCCCUACCCA